CAGGACACUGUGCCUCCUCAGAAACAGGAGGGUUUGAUUGGUCAGUAUAAUUGCACAGUGGAAAAGGAGCCUGAAGACCUGGAACUUGAGGGAUCCAGUUCUUUCCAAACCCUGCACUGCUCCAGAAUAUUUUAUAAGGUUCCACAUGUGAUGACAUGCUCCAGAAACUGGUAACACAGUAGAUGCUUCUGCCAGGAGACGUGGAACUGGAUACCUUUGCUCAUCAGGAAGAGAGAGAGGUUGUGAUUCCAAGGUUGAUUUUGCAUAAAUUGUGAGGUUAUGUUGAGAUCACAUGGAGGUUCACUUGAAUGUCUAUUUCAACUUUGUUUGAUUGGCGGCCUCUCAGCUUUCAGUUCUGCAUAUAUCAGCUUCACCACUUGUACCCCAUCCAUGUUCUGCACAGAAGACUGGAAAGGAAACGGUCAAACUUCUAAAAACUAUUUUUAUUUCUAUUUUGUUGGACAGAAGUAUGUUAUUUGGGUAAUAAUUUUACACUGGGCAAAUAGGAAUUCUUUGUUGUUUUCUAGUGGAAAUAAUGCUAUCCAAAAUAAAUCAGAACUAUGUGAGUAAAGAUGUGAGGAUUUGUGUGGUAUUGGUAGAUAGGUAGAUGGUAGAUAGGUAGAUGGUCUAUAGGUAGAUGAUUGGAAGUUUGGUAGAUUGGGAGAUAGAUAGAUGGUGAAUUGGGAGUUUGGUAGAUUGGGAGAUAGAUAGAUGUUGGAUAGGUAGAUUGGGAAAUAGGUAGAUGACUGAUAGGCAGAUGGUAGAUAGGUAGAUUGGGAGUUUGGUAGAUUGGUAGAUAGGUAGACGGUAGAUUGGGAGUUUGGUAGAUUGGGAGAUAGCUAGAUGGUAGAUAGGUAGAUGAGAGAUAGGUAGAAGGGGAGAUAGGUAGAUAGGAGGUAGGUAGAUGGAAGAUAGGUAGAUGGUUGAUGGUAGAUGCUGUGAGUGGCUUUGCACAGCAUCUUGAAUCACUCAGUACUGCUUUUAUGUCAUUCCCCUUUAAGUCUUACUUCCUCAAAUAUACAUUCCUUCUUCACUUAUGCCUAAUGUGAGAUGUAAACCAAAUAUACAUUAUUAUUAAUUUUAUUAAUAACAAUAUUCUACUUA